AGUCGGUAGAGCAGAGGAUUGAAAAUCCUCGUGUCGGUGGUUCGAUUCCGCCUCCGGGCACCA
rnacentral:tRNA from 1 species